UACGAAGGGGGCUAGCGUUGCUCGGAAUUACUGGGCGUAAAGGGCGCGUAGGCGGCACUGUUAGUCAGGCGUGAAAGUCCUGGGCUCAACCUGGGAACUGCGCUUGAUACGGCAGAGCUAGAGGAUGGAAGAGGCUCGCGGAAUUCCCGGUGUAGAGGUGAAAUUCGUAGAUAUCGGGAGGAACACCAGUGGCGAAGGCGGCGAUCUGGGAAGAUACUGACGCUGAGGUGCGAAAGCGUGGGGAGCAAACAGG
rnacentral:rRNA from 1 species